GACGAACGCUGGCGGCGUGCUUAACACAUGCAAGUCGAACGAAGUGGCGAACGGGUGAGUAAUGCGUAAUCAACCUGCCCUUCAGAGGGGGACAACAGUUGGAAACGACUGCUAAUACCGCAUACUGAAGGAGGGGAUUGCGUCUGAUUAGCUAGUUGGAGGGGUAACGGCCCACCAAGGCGAAGAUCAGUAGCCGGGCUGGGAGGAUGAACGGCCAAAAUGGGACUGGGACACGGGCCAGACUCCUACGGGGGGGAGGAGUGGGGAAACUUCCGAAAUGGACGGAAGUCUGACGAAGCAACGCCGCGGUGGUGAUGACGGCCCUCGGGUUGUAAAGCUCUGUUAAUCGGGACGCGGUACCGGAAUAGAAAGCCACGGCUAACUACGUGCCAGCAGCCGCGGUAAUUC
rnacentral:rRNA from 1 species